AGAGUUUGAUCCUGGCUCAGAACAAACGCUGAUGGCGUGCUUCAUACAUGCAAGUCGAGCGAGAAACCGGUGCUUGCACCGGCGGAGAGCGGCGAACGGGUGAGUAACACGUAAAUAAUCUGCCCUUGAGUUGGGGACAACCAUUCUAACGGAUGGCUAAUACCGAAUAGUGUUAAUUUACCGCCUGGUAGAUUAACGAAAGGCCUUCGGGCCGCUCGAGGAUGAGUUUGCGUCCCAUUAGCUUGUUGGCGGGUUAACAGCCCACCAAGGCGACGAUGGGUAGCCGGCCUGAGAGGGUGAUCGGCCACAUUGGGACUGAGAUACGGCCCAGACUCCUACGGGAGGCAGCAGUAGGGAAUUUUGCGCAAUGGGGGAAACCCUGACGCAGCAACGCCAUGUGAGGGAUGAAGCAUUUAGGUGCGUAAACCUCUGUCGGCAGGGAAUAAACGUCCGUUUCGGCGGGCUUGAAUGUACCUGCAAAGGAAGCCCCGGCUAACUUCGUGCCAGCAGCCGCGGUAAUACGAGGGGGGCAAGUGUUGUUCGGAAUUACUGGGCGUAAAGGGAGCGUAGGCGGGAAUCCAAGUCGGAUGUUUAAUCUCAGGGCCCAACCCUGAACUUGCGUCCGAAACUGGAUUUCUUGAAUAUGACAGAGGUGAAUGGAAUUCCCGGUGUAGCGGUGGAAUGCGUAGAUAUCGGGAGGAACACCAGUUGCGAAGGCGAUUCACUGGUCAAUAUUGACGCUGAGGCUCGAAAGCGUGGGGAGCGAACAGGAUUAGAUACCCUGGUAGUCCACGCUGUAAUCGAUGAAUACUAGGUGUUGGACCAGUUAACGGUUCGGCACCGCAAGCAAACGCGUUAAGUAUUCCGCCUGGGGAGUACGCUCGCAAGUGUGAAACUCAAAGGAAUUGACGGGGGCCCGCACAAGCGGUGGAGCAUGUGGUUCAAUUCGAAGCAACGCGAAGAACCUUACCAAGACUUGACAUGGGAGUGACCGCACGAGAAAUCGUGUUUUAUGCUUUUGUAUACACUCCACACAGGUGCUGCAUGGCUGUCGUCAGCUCGUGUCGUGAGAUGUUGGGUUAAGUCCCGCAACGAGCGCAACCCUCGUUUUUAGUUGUCAUGCCGUCUUCGGGCGGCGACCCUCUAGAGAGACUGCCGGUAAUAAACCGGAGGAAGGUGGGGACGACGUCAAGUCAUCAUGGCCCUUACGUCUUGGGCUACACACGUGCUACAAUGGCCGGUACAGCGGGUAGCGAAACCGUGAGGUUAAGCCAAUCCCUUAAAGCCGGCCUCAGUUCGGAUUGCAGUCUGCAACUCGACUGCAUGAAGGUGGAAUCGCUAGUAAUCGCGGAUCAGCAUGCCGCGGUGAAUACGUUCCCGGGCCUUGUACACACCGCCCGUCAAGCCAUGGAAGAAGGGAGCGCUCUAAGUCGUGAUGGUAACCCGCAAGGGAGCCUAGCGCCUAAAGCGAGAUCUUUGACUGGGGCUAAGUCGUAACAAGGUA
rnacentral:rRNA from 1 species